AGAGAGUAGUUCAUCAGAUGGGAGUCAGCGUCCUAGAAAAAUUUUGUAUGGAAAGCCUGAAGGACCAAGUUACUGAACAGGGUCUGGAAGGCGGUCUACUUCCAGCCGAGCCUUGGCUUCCACGCCUUCCUCCAUCAGCUAUCGUUGUCUCCUUUGCGCUGUCUGUGUGCAGGCAGCUGUGGGGUGUGAACGCAGGCUGCCUGAGUUCAGGCCUGUUUGCUGUGUGACCUCAGGUGGUUAACCAACUUCUCUGUGCCUUGUUUUCUCAUGUGUAAAAAACUGUCUUGAGAAACAUAUGAGAGGAAGUUGUUGAAGUCUUUUGUGCAGUUACGGACACAUAAGUAACAAGCACUUAAGCAAAUCUUAGCCAGUUUUUUUCUGUAUGGGAAGUCUGACAUUCCAUCACACUGUGGAACUAAAACAUAAAAUAUGAAGAGUUAAAUUGGGCACUGGGAACCCAAUUCCUCUUCCCUCACUUGUCUGUUAACACCAGCCAGCGACUUUUCCUAUUACAGAAAAGCCAUGUGCUUCGGCUGAGCUAAGGGAGGGCGAGGCGCCUCUGUGAGGGAAGGAAUCCUGUGAUCUGGUCACUUAUCCCACACCAUCUACUGACGGCACAGCAUGGGAACUGGGUGGGAACAGCCUGGAUUAGAAAUGGCCCUGCGAUUCCAAGUGACACCUCACCGGCAAGCCUUCGCAUCUGCUCAGCUCUGCUCCGUGUGGACUGUGGCCACAGCACAUGCGCACGAAACAGCAGCUGUGGAAGGGAAUUCUGGCAUCUGUGUCUGGGGCUUUGGGCAGGUGGCCGAGAAGCUGCCUGUGCUGAAAACGGCUUUAUGUCAGAUACGGAAAGCAAGGCGCAUCUGUCCCAGCUGAGCUCAGCCCCACAGUGGGCCUUCCCGCUGAAAGAAGCUACACAAUAAGCCUGGGUAAUUACAGCAGAGAUUGAACGAGCCAGUCACUAUAAAUAGCUGAUUGAAGUCA